CUGGCAUCUAACUUUCACUCUGUUGCUUAUCUUUUUCGGAUUCAGUGUGCUUUGGCAGCAAUAGUGAUAUCUGCCGUUAGUGGCUUGGUGGACUAUGACGAAGCUAUUUUCCUGUGGCGUGUGGACAAGAGGGAUUUUACGCUUUGGACCAUCACUAGCACAACGACAUUGUUCUUUGGAAUAGAGAUCGGUGUCCUUGUUGGUGUUGGUUUUUCACUAGCAUUCGUGA